UCUGUUAAUAUUUAUAUAAUGUAUUGUAAGUAAUAAGAAACAGAGAUUCGCAAUUACUAAAUGAUCCAAUUACGGUUAAUGAUUUACAAUGUUACUGGUAGACUACGAGUGUGUUUGUAAUCAAAACAAUAAUAUUUUUAUUACAACUACAUUAUUGUUUGCAGUACAUAUCGUUCGUAGCGUCACUUAAAAAUCGUUUAGUUUGGUUUACCCUUUAUGUAGUGUUAGGCCUUAACAAGACUAUUAUAGUAAAAACCGCACCGGAAACAGUAAACGGUACAAUGCAUGUAUUACUCCGUGCUAUUUGUUAGUGUGUUUUAAAAUAUUAUAAAAUAAUAAUGUUACAAUAACAAUCGAGGUGGUAUUCAUAGCAAAGUAUCUUGUACUGUUUAUCGAAAACUGUGUUUUUGUAAACAAACUCGCGCGCUCGCAUCCCGCCCCGCCACCGCCACCCGCACCCGAGCCGGCGUCCGGCUUGGCGGCCAUUGUGUUUUUGACCAGCGAGCGAGCGCAGUAUUGCAGAUUGAAUUUGAAGUGUUUUUCGCCUUUUUGGGUUAUUAUUACAAAACCAGUGACGAGAUGGAUGAUGACAUUGACCAAGACGUCCCUCAGUUAUUAAAGCAGUGGGGUUUACCCCAAUAUAUUCAUACUUUUCAAGCCGUUGAAAAAUCUACUCUUAAAAUCGAAUGAAGGACAAGGCCUGCUAAAUUUAUAUUCAGAACAAGGCAAAUUAUCAAAUAAUGGGCGAAGAAAAGUUUGCAAUAUAAUAAUAAAAGACCUAAUGCAAUCAGACCCAAAUAAAAGAAUAGACAGUUCUCUACUUCUUACAAAAGCACAAGAAAUAACUGAAGUAUUCAAAAAGGAAAAUAUAAGUACUUACUUUAUUCCAUACAUUAAUGAUACUAAACUUAAAAUAAAAAGAUGUGCAAAAGGCAAAUUAUAUGACUGUCUACAAAACAGGCGCCGCGAAUUAAGGGAGGCUAAGGUUAUUAAAAAGAAAAAUGGCAGCAACAUCAACAAUAACAGCAACGAGCCAGAAGUCGUCGAAGAAGAUGGUGGUGCAGAUGAAGAUAUCCAGUGGCUCCAAAACUGUACAGAACCCUGGCAUUUAGUGAUAGAGAAGUGGCAAAAAACUUCCAAAAAUAGAUUGAAGGAAAUAGAGACUUCAGAAAUGACCAUCGGAGCAUACAUUAAUAAAUAUCCAGUGUUAAAAACGCCACGCGGGCAUGAGCUUCUUAUUGAAGAUUUAAGAAGGGCCCUAUUAGAGCCUGUUCACACUAGCAUUAAUAUCGCCGCGAGCACGCGGCGAGCAAGCUGCGAUAUCACACACAUAUAAAGUUUGCUCGCGGCGAUAUUAUUGCGAUAAAAUAAUCGCCGCGAUACCGCGACGACCCGCGGCGAGCUCGUUGCGUGCACGCCGCGAUCUCGCAUCGCCGAAAAGAAUCGCUAGUGUGAACAGGCUCUAAUAGGGCCCCAUACUUUACAAGUUGAAUGUAGAAAUGAUAAGUAUAAGGGACGUCGACGCUGAAAAGACGCCUGAACGGGUAGCAUGAUCGCGCGAAAAGUGAUAAAACAUCUCCCUAUCGCACUAUUAGUAAGUGCGAUAGGGACGGAUGUUUUAUCGCGCGAUCAUGCUACCAAUGCAGAUGUGAGGGGCCGUAAUGUGUAAGUGUAAUUUCUACGGACCAAUGAUUGUGAUGAUUAUAUUAAAAUAAAUGUCAUUUUUCUCUGUA